rnacentral:rRNA from 1 species
AUGAGUUGCCUAAGCUGGAACUGUCGAGGGCUUGGGAACCCAUCGACAGUUCAAGAGCUUCGCAGUGUAGUGAAGCAGGAAGGGCCCUGUCUCUUGUUCUUGAUGGAGACAAAAAUUUCAGCACAAAGAGUGGAGAGUCUGCAGAACCUCUUGGGAUUUGCAGGAUGUUUUGCGGUGAACAGUACUGGCCUUAGUGGUGGUAUUGGUUUAUUCUGGAAGGAUGAGGUU